ensembl:lncRNA
GAUUACAUUAAAUAUUUUUCUAGCUCUCAACAUUCUAUGAAAUAACAGCUUGUGUUUUUAAAAAAAUUCUGCCUAUAGGAUUGUUUGCUUCAUGUCAUUAAUAUUUUUGUUGUGAAGACUUACAUUACUGUUCAUUAGUUCUGUAAUAACUUACAUGUUAUGAACAUUACCUGGUACAUUAUUUUUCUGAUACUUAGUUACUAUUUGAGGGGGAGAGGGUAGGAUAAAUCAUUUUCUUAGGCUACAUAUUCUGAGGAUGAAAACCAUCAAGCCCUGUAUAGUUCACAGAGCAUUAUUCAAGUUAUUCCCAAAUUCCCCAUAUUACCGUGUUAAUGUUACACUAGAUAAGAGUCAGCCUGUGUAACUGAUGUCAACUAAAAUGAGCAACAUGGAUCUCCUUUUGUGGUAUGUAAGUAUGUUUUUUAAUUUUUAGAAUUAGUGUUCAUCUACCUCAGGUCUCAGUUCUGAAAUUUUAGGCAAAGCUCUCAUGUGUAAAGCUAGUAUAGUAGCUUGAUUAGGAAAUAAAAGGAAGUCUAACUGCUAAACCAGCCUCCUAAAUUUGCUUUAUUACUAGUAAUAAUGCAGAUAUUUUCUAAAAGUUAUAGACUGUAAGUGUUCUAGCCCCAGCCCUCCCCUCUUUGCCCCCAUCCCCAGUAAACAGUUUUUAAAUUGAAACACUAUGUAUUUCAUUAUCAGGAUAAAGCAUUUUAUUGCAUCUUUUCCUAGGAAGCUUGUUGGUUUUGAAAUGAUCCCUAUUUUAAGUUGAUUUUCCUCACCCCUCUUUUUUAAAAAAACUGCUCAUAGGAUACCAGUAGCUGAAAGUUACAUAUUUUUAGAAGUUUUAACCCGUCUGAGGCACUUGUCACAUCGAAUCACUCUCUUGAAAAGUUUCCUUGGUACUUUGCUGGCUUUCUUAAUAUUCUCUGACUGACCUGUUCUUAUCUAUUCUAUUUCCUUUUUUUCUUCUAUGUUUGUCUCUUUAAUCUCAUCCACAUGUCACAUCUUUGUGGACGCCUGCUUUAAUGUCAGGGCUUGAAUUAAUCUGUUAUAUGCAAGUCUGCCAUUUCAGCUCUUUGCUGUACAUGUUAGAAUGCUUUGCUCUGUCUGAUUAUAUCCUAUUAAUUUCUCUUAUCACAUCAUUAUAUUUGAUCACUUUUUGUUCCUGAAUAGGUCUGAAAAUCCUCUAUCCAAUUCUUACCCUAUCCUUGAGGCAGCUUACCUCUGGCUACACUUUAUAUUUACAAAUAUCUUAAGUGCUCCAGAUUUAUAAGUGGCACGUUAUGAUGACUCUCCAAAUCUAACUCUACAGUAGCACUGCCUAAUAGAAAUAAAAUGCAAGCCAUAUGUAUAAUUUAAAAUUUUAUAAUUUGUCCUGAGCUAACCCCUCUAAUCUUAACCUCCACUGGUUUUGCCUGUAAACAAAUUGCUAGCCUUUUCUUUAUUUGGUUCAUUUCACAUUUCUAAUGACUUAGUAAUAUGUCUCCCCCUGCCCCAUAUCCCCUACCAUUUCAAGCCAACCGCUUAGAAAUUCUCUAUAGUGAAAAUAGUAAAGUCUUUUUUGCUGUAGGUGUAUUAUCAACGAAGUGUUCCUGAGUGAGGAACAUGUACAUCAAAAGUCCUGGCUUCCUAGGGUUUAUGUAAGGCUAUGAGCUGAUCAUUCUUCCUUUAUUGCUUAUGCUAUAGGUUUGUAACAGCUGUGUAUAUGAGACAAACCCCCAAAUUUAUCAACCUCUGCUUAAAGGUAACUUCAGGAGCAAAACCGUGGUUUUAAAUAUCUGGCGACAUUUGAAAAUCUAGUAUUUUCUGUUUCAUAACUGCAAGAAGAAUCCAGAAACAUUAAAAUUAUAGUCAUUAUUCCUGCUACCCCUCAAAUUCAUUUUCUGUCAAUAGUAUGUAGUAAUUACAGUUUCCCAUCCUCUACUGUGAUUGAUAACAGGUUCAUGUGUUGCUUUACGAAAUGGAAAAGAAGCUAUGAAACUCGGCAGAGGCUAAAUAUGUAAAUAGGCUUGAACUAAAUUUAGGGAUAAUACUUAAUGUGUUAGUAACGUCUGAGAAUCCAGUACAUGAGAAGGACGAUUUAGCUAGGGGUAUUUGCUGUCUUAAUUCUCAAGCUCUACAAAAAUUGCUCCAAUCCUGCCAUCAAUGUUUUUGUAGGCCUUCUUGGAGAAGCUUUUGUAGCCCUAAGAAAUAAAGGGCUCCAAGUGAGCUAAUCUUUCAAUUAUGUUUUUUUUUUUUUAAACUGGAAAUGGGAAUGAUAGAACUGUUCUCUGAACAUCUAGAUUAAUUCUUAAUUAUAUUGAAUAAGUAUUUUAUUUAAAAAAAUGGAAUUCUUAAUUAUAGUGAAUAAGUAUAUAUCUUAUUUAUUUUAUUUUCAAAAAAAAUGGAGGAAUAUAAGCUACAUGGGGAGUUCCUGUCAUGGCGCAGGGGAAACGAAUCCGACUAGGAACCAUGAGGUGGAGGGUUCAAUCCCUGCCGUGCUCAGUGGGUUAAGGAACCAGAGUUGCCGUGAGUUGUGGAGUAGGUCACAGACACGGCUCGGAUCUGAUGUUGCUGGGGCUGUGGUGUAGGCCUGCAGCUGUAGCUCAGAUUAGAUCCCUAGCCUGGGAUCCUCCAUAUGCCACAGGUUCAGCCCUAAAAAGAAAAGAAAAAAAAAUACAUAUAUAUAUACACACACACACAGAUAUAUAUAAGCUAUAUGACUUUCUGAUAAUUUCAAAAUUCAGACUUUUAAAAUGUGUUUAUCUGAGGUAAAACCCUAUGAUUUAAUGGUAACUGUCUUUCAAUAUAUAGGGGCAAUUUUCCAAUAGAAUUUUUUCAAUAAAAAUUUCCAAAAUUACUUAAUAUUCAAGGUUUCUACUUAGAUAUAUUGUACUGAGGUUUUUUUUUUUUUUUUUAAUAGCUGGAAUCAGAUUGACAAAAAAGUUCUUUUUAAAAGUGAAGUUUAGGGAAUUCCCGCUGUGGUACACGGGAUGGGCAAUGUCUUGAAAGUGCUGGGACACAGGUUUGCUUCCCAGCCUGUGCAGUGUGUUAAGGAUCUGGUGUUGCUGCAGUUGUGGCUUACGUAGCAACUGCAUCUUGGCUCGAUCCCUGGCCCAGGAACCCCAUAUGCCACAGGGUGGCCAAAAAAACGAAAAAAGAUUAAAGUUGAUUUUAAUUAUUUGGUGGCAACCUUACUAGAAUUGGAAUUGGAGUAUUAUUAUUAGUGAUCUUCACAAUUCUGAACCAACCCUAGUUGCAUGGUGGUUUAUAGGUACCAUGUUAAAAUGCUUUUGUUUUGAAGUUCCCGUUGUGGCUCAGUGGUUAACGAAUCCGACUAAGAACCAUGAGGUUGAGGGUUUGAUCCCUGGCCUCGCUCAGUGGAGAUCCAUUGUUGCCAUGAGCUGUGGUGUAGGCUGCAGACAUGGUUCAGAUCCAAUGUUGCUGUGGCUCUAGCGUAGGCCGGCAGCUGUAGCUGAGAUUGGACCCCUAGCCUGGGAAUCUCCAUAUGCUGCGGGUGUGGCCCUAGAAAAGACCACACAAAAAAAGUGCUUUUGUAUUUAUAUUUUAGAAAACAGUUACUGAGAGGUAAUAAGACUGAUUGCAAAGACCUGCCAAAAUAUUUUCAGAAGUUAUUGAAAUCAGUUGAAAGCUAUAUUUAAACAUCUGAAUAUAGUUGCAAUUUUUUUUUAUGAAAGCAAAUCAUUGUCUCUAUAGUUAACAUAGGAAAUAAGGUGGACUGUUUUAUUUAUUUAAAGGCUGUUAAACUUUUAAAAAAUUUUUAGACAAAAACAUUGGCCAUAUUAUACAAGGAAUAUGGUAUUAGAUUAUAAGAGUGACUUUUCUAAUCAUUAAUAUUUCCACCAGGAAGGUGAAUAUAUUUUCAGUUUCUAAUCUGUUAAUUUACAGUUUCUGAACUUAAGACCAACUACUUAUUAACAUGCAAGCGAGGUUUGAGAGGUUUAUUCCAUUAUGUCUUAGAAAUAAUAUGACAAACAUUAAAUGCUUAAUUUUUGGUGCUAGGAUAAUGAGACCACCUAGGAUUUCAUGGUCAAACAGCUUUUAUCCAGACAGUAUCUCUUUGAUCCAUUGGUUCCAUAAAGUUGUAGUUGUUCAUAUCUUACCAUUGGAGGUUCUACUUCAUGACCACACACACACACACACACACACACACACACACAAAGUGGGGGUUAAAUAGGAAAGUAAUAACUGCAUUUUGAACAUCUCGAACUCCCACUCAAAAAUCCUUUAGUGUCCUUUCUUGAAUUACAUAUUCUGUAUUGUAUUGUACUGAGUUCCUUUUUACUGAAAAUCUGGGAAAGGAACAUUUCUUGAGGUAUAGAAGGCAGUUCUUUGUUUUUUUUUCUUUUUAGGGCUGUACCCACGGCAUGUAGAAGUUCCCAGACUAGGGGUUAAAUCGGAACUGUAGCUGCUGGCCUCCACCACAGCCACAUCAAUGCCAGAUCCAAGCUGCAUCUGUGACCUACACUACAGCUCACCGUGACGUCAGGUCCUUAAGCCACUGAGCAAGGCCAGAGAUCAAACUCAUGUCCUCAUGGAUACUAGUCCAUGAGGUUCGUUACCACUGAAACCGCUGAGCCAGAAUGAGAACUCCCUAGAAGGCAGUCUUAAUUGUUCCUUUUACAGGCAUUAUUACGCCCAGAGAUAGGGAUACAUAGGGAUAGGUUGUAGGAAGGAGGGGGUAUUUUGAAAUGUAAAAUUGACUGUAAAAAUAAUACUAUAAAUGCCACAAAAGGGAGAAUAUGAACCUUGAUGCUUUGAGACAUAGGGGAAAACUCAGGUUUGGAAAUGCCAAUCCUGUGUUAGGAGAGCAUACUUCAAAUCACAGGAGGCAGCUUGACAGGGAGGGACCGAAAUGGCUCCAAGGGGUAGUGGGUAAGUAUUCAUCUGUCCUCUUCCUGACACAAUCAUGCCACACAAAUAAUGGCACUCAGCAGUUAAAAUCUGGUAUAUGUUCAGGGUCAUCAGAAUUAAGUAGGCCUAACUCCUGGGAUUCAUGUAGUCAACACCACCUUUUCAAAUUCCUGUACCAAUAUAAAAAGCAUUUUCUGCAGUUUGUUGGUGGAGUCUGAGGGGAUCAGGACUCAUUUUAAAUUUUUUGCCUAGUGCUGCAUUACUUUUGAAAAUUAAGUGAAAGUGGAGUUCCCAUCAUGGCGCAGCGGAAACAAACCCAACUAGGAACCAUGAGGUUUCGGGUUCUAUCCCUGGCCUUGCUCAGUGGGUUAAGGAUCUGGCAUUGCUGUGGCUGUGGCAUAGGUCAGCAGGUGUAGCUCCGAUUAGACUCCAAGCCUGAGAACCUCCAUAUGCCAAGGGUGGGGCCCUAAAAAGACAAAAGACUGAAGACAAAAAAAGAGAAAAGAAAAUUAAGUGAAAGCAAAGAGAUAAAUCCUAGUCUACUGAAAUUAUUGUCUUCCCUGAGGACUUUCCAGAUCCUCACCAGUUGGAAAUUUCCCUUUCCCAUCAACUGUCAUUAAAAAUUACAACAGCAACAAAAAAACCCAGAAACCAUUCCAGCCUUUAUAUCUAAGUAUAUGCCCUGUAUUAUACAUUAUUUUUCAUGUUUGACGUCUCCUUCACUAGAUUGUAAGCCUUUGGAUGUCAGAAAAAGCAUCUAAAUAAUUGUAUCUGCCAUCACAUUUAGUACAGUGCCUUACACUUAUUUGCUAAUUUAAUAAAUAUUCAUUAAAGUUAUUGGAUAUUGUAGUUUGAUGCUUAUGAGCCCUUUAGAGUUGGAUGCAUUAUCAACUAUUUUUAUCUUUAGUUUGAAAAUGUACCCCUGGCACGUGCUAAUUAUGGCAUUUAUAAAUUCACACAUUUAGUUGUACUGGCUCUCCACAGCUAACAUUAGUCUGGAGGAGCACUGUCUAGUAGAAAUAUAGCACAUGCCACAUAUGUAAUUUAAAAUUUUCUAGUGGCCACAUUAUAAAAGUAAGAAGAAACUUAGAUUGAUAGAAUUUUUAGCCCAUUAUUUCCAAAAUAUAAUUUAACAUGUAAUCAACUUUUAAAAGUUGAGAUAGUUUGGAGUUCCCAUCAUGGCUCAGUGGUUAAGCAAUCUGACUAGCAUCCAUGAGAACUAUUAGGUUCAAUCCCUGGCCUUGCUCAGUGGGUUAAGGAUCUGGUGCUGCCAUAAGCUGCGGUGUAGGUCACAGUCUCAGCUCUGGUCUUGAGUUGCUGUGGGUGUGGGUGUGGCCGGCAGCUGUACCUCCAAUCUGACCCCUAGCCUGGGAACCUCCAUAUGCUGCAGGUAUGGCCCUAAAAAGCAAAAAAAAAAAAAAAAA